rnacentral:rRNA from 1 species
GACGAACGCUGGCGGCGUGCCUAAUACAUGCAAGUCGAACGCAGUGGGGACGGGUGAGUAACACGUGGGUAACCUCCCAUCAGAGGGGAUAACACUUGGAAACAGGUGCUAAACCGAUACUGAUGGAUGGACCCGCGGUGCCUUAGCUAGUUGGUGAGGUAACGGCUCACCUAGGCGACGAUCUCUAGCUGGGCUGAGAGGAUGAUCAGCCACACUGGGACUGAGACACGGCCCAGACUCCUACGGGAGGCAGCAGUGGGGAAUAUUGGGCAAUGGGCGAAAGCCUGAUACAGCCAUGCCGCGUGUAUGAAGAAGGCCUUAGGGUUGUAAAGUACUGUCAUCGGAGAAGCGUUACCCGCCGAAAAAGCCCCGGCUAACUCCGUGCCAGCAGCCGCGGUAAUUC